GACUGAAGCCCUGGCGACUCCAAAGGGAGCCGUCCUGUACGUGUAAAUAGCAUUUGUGUGCUUUUCUCCUGUCAACCUGUCUGGUGUUGAUCUUGUCUGGAGACCGUAGGAAGACGGAGGAAACCUUCACCUCCCCUCCAGUUUCUGGUCUGAGGAUGGCAGAGCCUUGGCUGAGACGCUGUUGGCUCCGGGGUCUGCAGCUGAGAGAUCUUGGGACCUGAGUAAUCCGGCAGAAGCCCCCCGGUGCAUAGUUGUAUAUUCUUAGUUCUGGAUCCUUCUAGCUGUGGCAUGUUG